rnacentral:rRNA from 1 species
GAUGAACGCUGGCGGCGUGCCUAAUACAUGCAAGUCGAGCGAACAGACGAGGAGCUUUCUCCUCUGACGUUAGCGGCUGACGGGUGAGUAACACGUGGAUAACCUACCUAUAAGACUUGGAUAACUUCGGGAAACCGGAGCUAAUACCGGAUAAUAUAUUGAACCGCAUGGUUCAAUAGUUAUAGACGGUUUUGCUGUCACUUAUAGAUGGAUCCGCGCCGCAUUAGCUAGUUGGUAAGGUAACGGCUUACCAAGGCGACGAUGCGUAGCCGACCUGAGAGGGUGAUCGGCCACACUGGAACUGAGACACGGUCCAGACUCCUACGGGAGGCAGCAGUAGGGAAUCUUCCGCAAUGGGCGAAAGCCUGACGGAGCAACGCCGCGUGAGUGAUGAAGGUCUUCGGAUCGUAAAACUCUGUUAUUAGGGAAGAAAAAAUGUGUAAGUAACUAUGCACGUCUUGACGGUACCUAAUCAGAAAGCAACGGCUAACUACGUG